GAUAGUACCUUACUACUUGGAUAACCGUGGUAAUUCUAGAGCUAAUACAUGCUGAAAACCCCAACUUCGGGAGGGGUGUAUUUAUUAGAUAAAAAACCAACGCCCUUCGGGGCUUCUUGGUGAUUCAUGAUAACUUUACGGAUCGCAUGGCCUUGCGCCGGCGACGGUUCAUUCAAAUUUCUGCCCUAUCAACUUUCGAUGGUAAGGUAUUGGCUUACCAUGGUUUCAACGGGUAACGGGGAAUUAGGGUUCGAUUCCGGAGAGGGAGCCUGAGAAACGGCUACCACAUCCAAGGAAGGCAGCAGGCGCGCAAAUUACCCAAUCCCGACACGGGGAGGUAGUGACAAUAAAUACUGAUACAGGGCUCUUUUGGGUCUUGUAAUUGGAAUGAGUACAAUUUAAACCUCUUAACGAGGAACAAUUGGAGGGCAAGUCUGGUGCCAGCAGCCGCGGUAAUUCCAGCUCCAAUAGCGUAUAUUAAAGUUGUUGCAGUUAAAAAGCUCGUAGUUGAACCUUGGGUCUGGCUGGCAGGUCCGCCUCACCGCGUGUACUUGUCCGGCCGGGCCUUCCUUCUGGAGAACCUCAUGCCCUUCACUGGGCGUGUUGGGGACCAGGACUUUUACUUUGAAAAAAUUAGAGUGUUCAAAGCAGGCCUUUGCUCGAAUACGUUAGCAUGGAAUAAUAGAAUAGGACGUGCGGUCCUAUUUUGUUGGUUUCUAGGACCGCCGUAAUGAUUAAUAGGGACAGUCGGGGGCAUCAGUAUUCAAUUGUCAGAGGUGAAAUUCUUGGAUUUAUUGAAGACUAACUACUGCGAAAGCAUUUGCCAAGGAUGUUUUCAUUAAUCAGUGAACGAAAGUUAGGGGAUCGAAGACGAUCAGAUACCGUCGUAGUCUUAACCGUAAACUAUGCCGACUAGGGAUCGGGCGAAGUUCUUUUUUGACGCGCUC
rnacentral:rRNA from 1 species